CACCUCUCUUCUCUUCAGCUCAGUUGACUCCUUGCAAUUGCCGGGACGGAGCACCAGCAGCCUGCAGAGCGGGGACCGGUGGUUGAUGGGGACGGGGGCCAGUAGCCGCAACAGCAGCAGCAGUCGGGCGCACCGACCGAAGCAUGCUCCAGCGCAGCCAUGACUUGCUCGGCGUCAGAUAGCGAGAAGAUCGUGAUCAACUGUGGAGGGAUCCGACACGAGACUUACCGGAGCACCCUGAAUACGCUGCCUGGCACGCGCCUCUCCUGGCUCACGGAACCCGACGCGUACAGCAACUUCGACUACGACCCCAAGUCCGACGAAUUCUUCUUCGACCGCCACCCGGCCACCUUCGCCUUCAUCCUCAACUACUACCGCACCGGGAAGCUCCACUGCCCCAACGAUGUGUGCGGGCCGCUCUUCGAGGAGGAGCUCGCCUUCUGGGGCAUCGAUGAGACGGACGUGGAGGCAUGCUGCUGGAUGAACUACCGGCAGCAUCGCGACGCGGAGGAAGCCCUGGACAGCUUUGAGCAGCCCGAGCCGGACGCGCCCGAGGAUGACCCGGCGCUCACUGGCGGGGCGGACGGAGACCUGAAGCGGCUGUGCAUGCAGGAGGACGGCCGCAGGGCCACCAGGUGGGCCGUGGUGCGGCCCUUCAUGUGGGCGCUGUUUGAGGACCCCUACUCCUCCAAAUACGCACGGUAUGUGGCGUUUGGCUCGCUCUUCUUCAUCCUCCUCUCCAUCUCCACCUUCUGCCUGGAGACCCACGAAGUCUUCAACACCAUCUACAACAAAACAGAGAACGUCACAGUUGGCAACGUGACAACAGAGGAGAUAGUGUAUGAGGUCGUCACAGAUGGCUGGCUGACAUACGUGGAGGGCAUCUGCGUCAUGUGGUUCACCCUUGAGGUAAUGGCGCGAGUCGUCUUCUGCCCUGACAAGGCGGAGUUCUUCCGCAGCGCCCUUAACAUCAUUGACUUUGUGGCCAUCGUGCCCUUCUACCUGGAGGUGGCGCUGAGCGGCCUCUCUUCCAAAACAGCCAAAGACGUGCUGAGCUUCCUGCGCGUGGUGCGCUUUGUCCGUAUCCUGCGUAUCUUCAAGCUGACCCGCCACUUUGUUGGUUUGCGGGUUCUGGGCCACACUCUGCGGGCGAGCACCAACGAGUUCCUGCUGCUAAUUAUCUUCCUGGCGCUGGGCGUCCUCAUCUUUGCAACCAUGAUCUACUAUGCUGAAAGAAUUGGCGCCGAUCCAGCCGAUCCGACGGCAGCGGCCCACACCGCCUUCAAGAACAUCCCCAUCGGGUUCUGGUGGGCUGUGGUGACCAUGACCACGCUGGGCUACGGGGACAUGUACCCUGAGACCUGGUCUGGAAUGCUGGUGGGGGCCCUCUGCGCCUUGGCCGGUGUGCUGACCAUCGCCAUGCCUGUGCCUGUCAUCGUCAACAACUUCGGCAUGUACUACUCCCUGGCCAUGGCCAAGCAGAAGCUCCCCAAGAAGAGGAACAAACACAUCCCUCGAGCGCCCCAGCCCGGCAGCCCCAACUACUGCAAGCCAGAUGCCCUUGCCAUGGCAACCGCCUCGCCGCACAGGCUGAUGGGAAAUGUGAUCGGGCCGGGCAUGGUGGGAUCCGGCAGCAUGAUGGGAACUGGAGACUGCCCAUUGGCACAGGAGGAGAUCAUUGAGAUCAACAGGGCAGAUUCCAAGCAGAAUGGCGAGGCGGCAGCUAACGCAGCGCUGGCCAACGAGGACUGCCCCACCAUCGACCAGGUCCUCGGGGACGAGCGCAGCCCGGCCACGGGGGGGCUCGGCUCCACCACCAGCCGCGAGCGCUACCCCCACGACCGGGCCUGCUUCCUGCUGAGUGCCGGGGAGUUCCAGCGCACCACGGAUGGGAACGUUCGGAAAGUAGGAGGCACUGUGAACGGCUACUGGAGUGACAGCCCAUGGUAGAAGAAGAGAGGAGGACUCACACCGCAAGGGAAGAAGAGAGCGGACAUGACAACAGAGACAGCAUACGAACAUAGAAAUAUGCAAUGUAGAUACAUGAGACAUCGGUGGUUGGAUGUGUGUUUCUGUUCAGUUCUAUCUUCUGCACACAUGAGUGUGCACAUGGAUUUUUGUGUGUGGAUGUGUGUGUGCCCAGACCUGCAUCUACCUCUGUACUAAGAUGCACAAACUAGAAAAAACUAUGUUUUCCUUACUUUUUGAUUCUGCAAGAUAGAAGGGAAGACACAAUUAUUUCAGUUUAGCAUUUAUUUUAAAGAAACGUGUGUGAUUACAUGAUGAUGUCAUCUUUCUGUCAGUCAGUACUUUUGUUUUUCUUAAUCUAAGGGGUUUUUCCCCUAGUUUAUUUUCUGAUUAUUUUAAAUAGAAAUGUUCUGAUGUUACAGAAUUAGUUUUGUUCGUUUUAAUUUUCAAAACAUGUCUUGUUCAUUGUUUUAGACCCUAAUUAUGUGUCUGUUGGUUAAGUUUCAUGUCUGUUUGAAUCCCUUCUCCUCAUUUCUUGGUCUCGCCUUCCUUCCCUCCCUCCAGAAAGUCACUUUCAGCUAACAGGAAGUCAUUCCCUUAGAUUUGCAUUCAAUUCCCCAAAGAGAAAAACUAUCACUUACCACCCAGUGAACAUAGACUCUGCCAAAGCAGGUUCAAGGUGCAGAGCGGCUUAAUCCCUGUUCUUUUAAGAAGGAUUCUGUGUCUGAGUGUCGGGAGGUGAGAGCACCAUUGUGUCUGAGAAGCAUAUAGUUGUUUUUUUUGUUCAACAUUUUGGGAAAGAAAACUUUCUUUGCACUACGUUAGGAGCUAUAGCGAAAAGUCAUUAUCCCAGCUAAGAUUCCAAACUAAAAAAGGGGGAAAUAGCGCAAAAUAAGACUUUUUUUCCUCCCGUUUGCUUCCAGUCUUUAUGCUAAGCUAACGUAAUUGCCUCUGGCUCUGUACUGCACAGGUAUCGGAUAUCCGUUCCUCCUCUGACUCUGGGAAAGAAAGUGUUUUUCCCAAAAUGUCAAGCUACUCCUUUAUCCUUAUGGGACCCUGAUUUGUGGUCAUGCAGGGUCUAGCUAAAUCCUGUUUCAUGUGCGAAUGUUUGAUUUAGAAGUUUGUCUCCACUGGGAGUUCAGGAUAAAGAUUCCCAGUUGGAGACUCAUUUUAAACCCCCCAUCCUAGUUGACAUUCCACCAGGCUCAAAUACAAACACACACACGUCACACACACAUAUAGAUGGGAACACACACUCCAGUCCCUCUACUGAACCUGUCUAUCGUUUCUCAACACGUCAUCCUCUCCUCAUCAUCCUCUUCCUUCCCAACGUCCACUUGUUGUGAGUGCAUCUGUCACUUUCCCUAAGGCCACUCCUGAUUGGUCUCUUUUGUCAUGAUGAUGUACAUAUGUAAAGUUUGCGUUGUAUAUGAAUCUGCAUGGGUUUCCAUUGCAAGCAAUAAGGAUACUGAUAUGAGUAAUAAUGUGAGGAGGUUUGAUAAGAUUUUAGUCUCAAGCUUAAUGAAUGUGUAUAUAAUAUUUAGACUAAUAAGAGUGUGUAUGAAUGUGUGUGUUAAGAUGCAUACAUAUGCACUAACAAAGCAUGCAGGAUAAAAAAAGUUCACCUCUUUGAAUGCAGAAGAGGUGGGGCGGGCUGACAUUAUGCAUGCCAAAUUGCUAUGAUGCUAAUGGUCGGAUGCGACCAAGUUAGGUACUGUAACAAGGUUGGGUGGGGGUGGGAAAGUUUAUUUUUGCAGGACAGGGAGGGGUUACGUUUGUAGUAGGUCUUGUAUAGCUGCUUUCUUAUCGAACUUGAGAGACUUAUGAUAAGAGGAACAUAUUAACAAUCGUAGCUUAUGAUUUCUUUUUUAUUUAUUUGCUUCUCUUUUCACAGAGAACUGUUCUGAAAGCUGUGCGCUUAUCAGAUAUAUGCAAAAAAAAAGCAGUAACUGUGAACUAGUGCUAAGACAUGAAAAAAAAAACACAACAAAUCCAGCUUCUUCCAUCAUUGUCUCAACCCCUCUACUGCAAGAGAGAGGAGAGACCUCCCAAGAUACCUCCUCACCCAAUUGUCCCUUCCAUCGUCUCAUGUCACGUUUCAUUUCUUUCUGUCCCGUUCAAUUCUACACUUGCAUUUAAACUACAGUGAGAUCAAAAGAAGGAUACCUCUGCAAUGUGAGAAUGCAUUGAUAACUCCCAAAAGGGAUGAGGACCAGGGCCAGAUGAACAAUGCCAGGGUGCCUUGGCCAAACCCUUACUACCCCAUUUGCUAUGUUAGGUGAUUAAAACUUAAUGGCAUUCAAAUGUUUUUAAGUACAUUUAAGUACAUUUGCCUACUUGGUGAGUACUCACCAAGUAGGCAAUUCUGGUUUCUCUUGUAGACCAGAAAUGCUUCCAGCAAAGCUGAAUUUAUGAAUAUUAUUAUUAACAAGUGGCUUGUUUUUCAGUCCGGUAUCAUGACAGCCAGAGUCAUCGGUAGGUCUUGGCUGCUUGAGAGAAGAUUUGGUCCCCAGCUAGAGUUAGGGUUAGGUUUUCCCCUUAAGUCCCUUAAGACAGUUUCCCCUAAGACUAACCACUAUCUAGAAGUGUAUUCAUGUGGAGCUAAUGCUCAAAAUGUACACCCAGUGCCAAAGGAAGUAGCAUCAGCUUUCUGUAGCAAGGUGGGAAUUAUGGGUCUGGAGGUUGGACAUGUAGCAUCAGACUUUCAGGCAGAACCCAAGAGCCCGUUUAUGUUCCCAAGCCUUGACUCGCACUGCAGGGGCACCCUUCAAACUUCAUACAUGUUUUUUUUCUUUCUUCCACCCAUUGUUGCCAAUGUUUCUCUCUGUUUCAUUCAUUCACAACUCAGGUAUCUCUUUCUCUCUCUCCCUCCGUCCCCCUGUGUUCCUUUUCACCCAUGUUUCCUCAAAGAUGUACUGUAUGUCUGAAAAAGGGAGAGAUAAGAAGUGUUCCUCUUGUUUCUGUUUCUGUGAACACCAUGUGCUCUUGUUUUGUGGCUCUUCCUUGCCUCUUUUAAAAAUGUUCUUUUGCUUUCCUUGUCCAACUGUGCUUCCUGUCUUCUCCUUGUGGCGUCCUUGGUCUUUCCAGCCUCUCAAUAACCAUGUCCCCCUUCCUGUGAGACUUUAUCCCCCCAACCUACCGUAGAUCCCCCCACUGUUAGUCUUUCACAGCAAAAACCAAAAAGGAAUUCAAUUAAUUGGAGCACCUUUGCACCUAAAAAUAAAAUGGCUUGGUGAAACACUGGACGUCACCAAGGAGGAAGACAGGAACCGACAUUUAAAUGAAUUAAAAAGACUGAGGGGGUGUACUGUAGGUUGGGAGGAGGGGAAAACUGUGCAAUGAAAUGAUGUGUUCUGAGUGGAUUGUCAGCCGAGCAGCAUCAGAGGGAGGAGAUGGAGGAGGAAAGUUUGGGGAAGACAGAAAAGUGUGGUGAUGAUGAGGAAGCAAAAGAGAAGCAAAAUCUCUUCCCCAUUGCUGAGUUUCUAAACCCCUUUCACUACAAGAAGAGGAAAACAAUAAACUUUGAAACCGCUGCUCCUCCAUCUUCCCUAAACGGAUUCACUGUAGAAAAAGGGAAGGAGAUAGAGAGAAAGAGAAGGAAAAAAAGAUGCGUGAUAGAAAUCAUCACUGACACUUUGACCAGAACAUUUUCAUCUGCGUUACACAUUCAUAUGCAACCUCGUUGACGAUCCCAAUGAAGACAAAUGGUCACGAUCGUAUAAAAGCUGUUCAAUCUGGACCUCUUUUGAACAGAGCAAACCGCAGCAUGGAGCGUAGCGUCCAGAGGGCCCGUGAGAGACUUGGAUUCGGAACAAAGAUGCCCUCUGUUUUAGUUGUGAUUUGCUUUACUCUUUUUAUUUCAAGAAGCUUCAUUCAGCUGUUGAUAUCCAGUGGAUGUUCCAUUAUUUCGGCACUCAAAGCACUAUGCAAAGUCAGGGGUGGUCCAUCGUGAUGUCUAACGACUCAGGCAGAGUCUGAGCUACAGGACCUCUAACAGCAGGCGAAAAUGUACUCAUACAUAUCAGAAAACAUCAGCCAUAUCACAUGUACAUUUGACAUGAUCCUGUAUUUGAUAUUAUCUGAAUCUUCCGGGUGACAUAUUGGGUUUAAUACUGAGAUCUCAGCAAAUGUCAAAGAGCCAGUAUUCACCUUGUGAUGGAACCAACCCAAAGACAGACCAAUUGGGGGUGAACAGAAGCCCUUGAAGACAGGAAACUGGCCGUUACAUCAGCUAAAGAAAAAGUGAAAAUGUGAUUGACCCUCUUUCUCUCUCUCUCGUUCUCUUCGAGUGUUUACGGUGUCUUGAAUGCC